rnacentral:sRNA from 1 species
UGUAUCAUAAAAAGUCCGCCAUUGCUCA